GUGGGGAAUUUUGGACAAUGGGCGCAAGCCUGAUCCAGCAAUGCCGCGUGCAGGAAGAAGGCCUUCGGGUUGUAAACUGCUUUUGUACGGAACGAAACGGUCCUGGCUAAUAUCCGGGGCUAAUGACGGUACCGUAAGAAUAAGCACCGGCUAACUACGUGCCAGCAGCCGCGGUAAUACGUAGGGUGCGAGCGUUAAUCGGAAUUACUGGGCGUAAAGCGUGCGCAGGCGGUGCUGUAAGACAGGCGUGAAAUCCCCGGGCUCAACCUGGGAAUUGCGCUGGUGACUGCAGUGCUGGAGUGCGGCAGAGGGGGAUGGAAUUCCGCGUGUAGCAGUGAAAUGCGUAGAUAUGCGGAGGAACACCGAUGGCGAAGGCAAUCCCCUGGGCCUGCACUGACGCUCAUGCACGAAAGCGUGGGGAGCAAACAGGAUUAGAUACCCGGGUAGUCC
rnacentral:rRNA from 1 species